rnacentral:tRNA from 1 species
GCGGGACUAGCUCAGUGGUAGAGCGUGUGCUUAGCAUGCCCGAGGUCCUGGGUUCGAUCCCUGGUGCCCCC